ensembl:lncRNA
CCCUGGGCUUGGCUAGGUUGCUUGGUGAGGAGGGGCCACCAUUGUGAUGACAUGGUCGCAGGGAGCAGGCGAGAAUAUGAGCUGUCCCAGUAUGCAUGCAGCCUGUGGAUUGUACAUGCUUGGACUAAAUGGACCAUUUAGAGAGAUGGUCCAUAGGUUACAGAUGUGAAGAAACAGAAAUAAACUGUUUAUCAGAGAGACUAAACAACAAUCUAGUUUUAGUCGUGGUACCUAUGUAUAAAUACACAACCAUCUUCUGAGCAAUACUGCACACAGAUGCUGUACGCACGUUCCUCAGGAUUGUCUUGUACCAACCACUGUGCUUCACUUCUGUGUCUGGAGAGCAACUGACAUAAUGAGCAUGAGCACCCUGUCGACAACUAAGAAAGUCUCCUACUGCAUAUGUGUACUACCAAAGAUGAUGCUUAACAUAGAGAAGAACAUGCAUCAGUAAGUGUAGAAAAGUCACAACUGAGUAAGUAGUUUUCCUGUCCUAUAAACACUUUUUUCCUGAAAAACACCAUAUAAAUUUGUAAGUGCAUGUGAUAACUAACAUUAUCUCACAUUUACUUGAUGCAAUUGUUGCUUUUCACACUUGCUAGAAACAACUACUUUGUUUUGUUGCUAGUAAAACUGUGGGAGCUCUACCUCAGGGACAGAUAAAGUACUGGGUGAAGUUUUGCAGGAAUAAAGGUAUAUUUUGAUUAGUUACAUAGAAAGAUCUAGGUUUGCCCUAGAAAUCAAUGGGAUGUAGCUUGCAUUUUUAUUAGCUUGCUUGCUGGCAACUUCUUCCUGUCUGUAUGGAUAUUCCCCCACAGGCUGUGUUUGAAUUCACAGAAGGCUGUGAAAGGCCUUGAAGAAGCUGCUACUCUGCUGUAAGAGAGCAUUUGUGUAAAUACUCUUGACUGAGGCAGACGUCUAGAUCGGGCCCUGGUUUCCCCUCUACUUCCACAGCAGAGGAUUUUAAACCAGCAUUCAAAGGAACUUUCUGUCUACGUGAUAGCUCAGCUAUCACAUAUCUAGAACUGCAAAAUUCAAUACUCUGCUUUCCUGUUCAUUCCUUAUUAUGUUGCUGAGAGUAUUAGUUAGCUUUAGUCGUAAAGUGGCUUUAAGGUUGGACUAUGAAAAGACACCAUAAACUGCAUCCAUAUCAGACAGAGCCAGCUUGCAAUUGUUUACAAAAGGGACCUGCUGCUGGCCAGAGCUGAGCCAAUAAGCAAUGCCAGUGGUACCUCUGUAAGAUCAGGUUUAAAGAAAGGUACAAUGUACCGUGUAGCUUUGUGAGAAAAAUGUGAUAGAAACAGCCCCACAGACACAAAUGUCAGUGAAGAACUGGGAAGAGGGUUGGAGCACAGAUUCCUCUACAGAAUACCAAGGUAAAGCAGAUUGUCCCUUGGUAUCUCAUGGAAGAGUACCUGGAGGAGCAGGUGGUUGUGUCCUUAAGGAAACUGCAGUCCAUGAGGAACCCACACAGGGGAAAGUUUUCUGUCAGGAACUGAAUGUCCCAUGAGGUCCACACCAGCGCAGUCUGUUCCUGGUGAAACGUAACUUGUGGAAACAACAAAUGCUGGAGCAGUUCAUAAGGAAUUGCAUCCAAUGGGAGAGACUACAAGCCCCAUUUUCCAUUGCCCAUGCCACUCAGAGGACAAGGAAGUAGAUCAGUAGGGAAUGAAAGAAUGAAGUUGAACCAUCAAAUAAGGGGGCUAUGGGAAAGGUGUUUUGGUUGUGAUUGUUUGUUGUUUAUCUCAAUAUCCUAAAAAUAGAUUUAAUUGGUAAAUUAAUUUUUUAUUCCCUAAGUUGAAUCUGUUUUGCUCUUCACAAUAAUUGGCGAGUGAUCUCCGUGUUCUUACUUCCUGGAGAAAACAGAAUGGGGAUCUUAUCAACACUUAUAAAUAUCUUAAAAGGCAGCUGUCAAGUGCAUGGGGCAGGCUCUUUUCAGUGGUGCCCAGCAACAGAAUAAGGGGCAACAAACAGAAACUGGAACACAGGAAGUUUCAUCUGAACAUGAGGAAAAACUUCUUUACUGUGAAGAUUACAAAGCACUGGAACAGACUGCCCAGAGAGGUUGCAGACUCGCUUCUGGAGAUAUUCAAAACCCACCUGAAUGCUUUCCUCUGCAACACGUUGUGGGGAACCUGCUUUAGCAGGGUGUUGGACUAGGUAAAAUAUUCUGCAUUGACUGAGUUAAGAGAUUACACUAAACCAAGCAAGUUUAGGGAUAUGGCAGAUGUCUUCACUUUUGUUUCCUUUCAUUGCUGAUGAGGAUUACCUUAUGAUUUAACCAACAUCCCGAUUACAAGGACUGAGUUUGGAAGAACAAUGAUGCUUCAGAUAAAAUGUCUUAUCCUCUUUGCAGAAACAGGAAGCUAUGGCAGUGAUGGAAGUGCAAACAUCAGAGGAUCCCAAGAGUACAGCAGUGACUUGAGAGAGCUGAAUGUUAGAACAGUGGAUAUUCAUUGAAGAAGUCAUGGAAGAGUCAUUCCCUGGAAGGGACAGGUAACUCCCUGGAAAGACAUGAAAAAAAUCACUACCAUUAGCCUGAUAGAGGUAGGAGAAAAAUACCGAAAUGUAAAUGUUGGAAAUGUCUAUUUUAAUACAGGUUUGCUUUGGCAAGAGUGAACCUAGGAAGGAAAGCAAGCAAUGAACAUAAUGUCCAAAAUAUUUAUGGUUAUCUUUGUUCAUGGUUUUAUGUGGCAAAACACUCAGUCUGGUUUUCUGAUUGCUAUCUCCAGCUUAUUUUCCUGUGGUGCCAUCCAAAGACAUUUCAACACUAAAAUUUUAAUCAACCUCUGUUUUUCACUGGAAAAUUUAAAUAAAAUAAUUCAUUUGAACAUUUUAGUAGUUGUUAUUGCUCUAUCAUAGUCUACUUAAGCAUUUCAACUUGUCAAAGAAUGAUGGGUUGUUAUGGGUAUUUUAAUGAAAGACCAUAUUAAAAAUACCAAAGUAAUGUAAAACAUAUUGUAAAUGAGUUCAAAAUUAAAGGCACUUCAUGUCCUUUAUUGAACUCCUACAGUUUUGCUUGUAUUCACACUAAUGGCUGACGGUUUGUGAUGGGAAUGUGAAAAUCAAGCUGUAUUAGUAUUCUCAAAUACUGGAGAUUUACUAUUUCCCUUUUCACCGGACUGCAACAUUGAUUUUUACAUACAUAUGCUUACGUGUAUGCAUAUGUAAAUAUUUAUUAAACUUACAUGCACAUAGCUUAAACGUAUUACAUAUAAAUAUGCAUAUUUGUACUUAUGUCUAUAUAAAUUGAAGGCAAGGACAUCACAGCAAAUUGUAGAUUGCACAUAAACAUUGCAGAUCAUUUCACAUGAACUUCUUGGGCCACCUUCAAUAUAGUUCAAUUGGAAAGAUUUACAAGGGACAAAUACCGUGGGCUACUUUUAAAUCAGCCUAAGACUACCUGUUGCAUGCUCUUCUGUUAAUUUAUCUUCCCAUGUUUAUGCCCACAGCUAAAGAAGGUAGGUCAGCGAAGAAAGAAACUGCUUUUGUGUAAAAGUGUAGAACUAUGCGUGAUUAGACAGAAUUUUCUGUAGGAAAUUCAGGUAUAUGCUUAUCUACUGAAUCCUGAGAUGAAGACUGGGGGAAUAAAGUGUAUAGUAAACUAAUAAAACAAUUUCUUCUGUAGCAGAAGAGACAAAGAUAUCGUUAUUAAUUUGUUCCGAGACAGUGUCUAGGAUGGCUUUUUGGAUUAUUUUCACUCAUAACAAAUGUAACUUCAAACUUUAAGAAAAAGAUAGCUAAGUAGGACUACUCUUUUAAAAAUGUCUUAGACUAAUUUAAGUUGCAUCCAUAUAUGACAGAUAAAAUGGAGUACUUCAUCAAGCUUAUAUUCAAAUAUGUAGUAGUAAUGGUCAGUAACCUAAUAUUUGGGAGGAAUUUUGUUUCCCUUUCAUCUGUGCAUUCCUAAUGAAGGUGUUCUAGAGCAUAUGUAGACAUGGAAAGGUAAUGGGGAAGAGGAGUCUGAGGUAGAGGCCCAGACAUCUCUUUAAGAAAACAAAAAUAGCUUCCUUUUGGAGAUUUACUUUGAGGUCUCUGGAUAUAAGAAAAUCUGUAUGAAAAUCCUUGUCUGGGUUAAUUCUGAGGAGUGUUGCAAAUUAUUAACUGUACAGUUAAAGCAACAUCUUAUCCAGUAGUAAAGGUGCGGCCAAUGUAGCCUAGAUACCACUUUAUUAAGCAUCUGUAUAUGCUUUGUAAGUAACAUCAUUGGAUGAACUCUUUCUUUCUAAGAGUUUAUUAUUAUUCUUUUUAGUUGAGUGGUCUUCCCAGUUUUUUAUUUUAUUUUUAAAUUUAUUAAAAUGAAACUGAAAGCAUAAAAACAAAAAUACACCAACACUGAUAUUCAGUAUUAAUAAUUAGUAAUGUCCAAGCUAUAAGCUCGUUAAUAUAUAUGUCUUUAGAACAUGAUUAGCAAUGUGAAAUUUACUCUGUUGCUAUAUACCACUGUAGGCACUGCCUGUGAAAGUGCCACUGACUGAAGUCACUGUACGAAAGAGAUAGGCACAGGAAGGAGAAUGUGUCCUCACAGAUUAGGUUUCCUUUUCUAUCAACUGUAAACAACCCAUAGGUAUCUCCAGAACACUUAUGGAGCACCUCUGGGGUUAAACAUCUGGUCUUUCUACCUUAAAGAUAAUGAGUAUAUAGAUAAAUACCAGCAAUCUUAAUCUAACAAAGAGCUCAGGGGACAUGCUGGCUACUGUGCAUAGGGCCUUAAUGAAGUGGACCCUCUGGAAUGGAUUCACUGGAGUGGGACUUGUUAAUCAAUAGUGUCGUUCUUCCUAGACCAUUCCCUCCAAGAAGUAUGGCACUUCAUUUGGGGCAGCUGCUGCUGCGCCACUCAAAGAUAGACUGAUGCACUCUGGGAGAUCAUAAGCCAUAGGAUGUGAGGGAGAGCAAGACAUGAAGGAGUUCACUUCAUACCUGAUGUUUGUUGCAGUCAACUCACAGGAAUAAAAGUAAGCUUCCAGUGCUGUUUGUCUGAAAUAUGCACUCCCUUCCCUGCAAUAAUCUCUAAGACAGAAACUAUGUCAACAGAGACAAGAAUUCUCAUUCUUUCUAUUAUGCUUUCAGCCCUAAGCAGUCAGUAAGGUCUGAGCUGCCCAAGUUCUGUACAGUAUCAUCCAUAAUUCAUAGAUUUCUGGCUUUCCAUUAGCUCAGCAUCAGAAAUUGAAGAGUCUGAGCGUUGCAAGGUGAUUAAGGACUUUUUUUUCUGAUAUGUUGCUUCUUUCUAAGGCUGAAUAUAGGUUUAUUUUCUGUACAAGUGCUCUUGCUAAUAGGUUAUCAUGAAAGAGGUUGUCACUAAAACAUACGAGUUCUUGUUGCAUGUAACUUAUCUUUUCCAGGAUCCAUAAAUUCUACAGCAAAAUAAAACUCAAAGUUUGAGGAAGAAGGAGCUUUUCUCUUCUGAACAAACACUUGAGUGUGUGUGACUAGGUAAUUUAAACCUGUACAGAAUUAAGACUUAAGUUGAGAACAGCUAAAAGAAUAUGGAUAUCUAUUUAGAACCCCUGAAGAAAAGGAGGAAUAGAUCUCUAACUAUAACUGUGUUUCAAAUGCUUUAUUUCUCAUCUGGUUUUAUGAAGACUAUUUCCACAGGGUAAUUUUGUAUCUUUCCAUUAUGAGAUAACUGUUUUUUGUAUUAAAGGGAAAUACGGAACAUAUCCCAUCUAUCUUGGCAUUAGUGAAGCCGUUAAUUUAGUACAAAGUUGAAAUUUUAAAGUUAAAAUGAGGAAGAUUGGGUUUUUAGUAAACAGUGAUAAAGUUGGAAAAGAAGUAGCUGAAAGAGAGGAAUUGGCUUUUUAAAAAGAAAAAAAGGAAAGAGAUUUGUAGUGAAAUUCUUAAAGGUCAGAUCUUAAGAAAGGAUUCAUAUAGUGUAUAGCAGAAAUUAAACUGAAUGGUAUAAUGGUAAGAUCAUUUGUUUUAGCACAGAACCUUAGGUGCAGAAGGCUUGAAAUCAAUUAUGGGACUAUGAGGGUUCAAAAAUGAGGUGUAGCUACUAGAAAAUGAGAGUAGUUUCUGAAUACAUCAGAAAACAUAUGUUUGUGUGCAGGGGAACUGUGGUGCACUGAUGAUUUGUCAUCUACAUUACUAAAUAUAGGUCAGUUCACCCAUAAUCAAGCUAAAAAAUUCAUGAAGAAACUCUAUUAGAAUAAUAUAGGGAAGGAUGCAUGCUUUAUAAAGCAGGGACACCAAAAGAGUUUGGCUUAUUUAAUAAAAUGAAGGAAUAAAAGACAGAAUUGUUCUUUCAGCACUGGUAGAAGUACAAGAGAUGUUCAAACCAACGUACAGUUCUGUGAUGUCUAUAAGUGGGUGUUAAAGUGAACAAUAAUGUAUUUAAAUAAACAAGCAGAAGAGACUUGUUAACAAUGAUAGGAAAGAAGUUUUGGAGCAGUAGACCAUAAAGAGAGGAAAGCAAAAGCAAAUGUAAAGUUUGGUAAUGUAGUGGAAUUUCAAGGUAACAGCCUGAACCAAUGGGUGGGCUAUGUGAGUGUGAGGGUGCCUGGAGCCGGGGGGUGGGAGGGUUUGGAGCCACCCCUUCUGUCUCUGCAAUACUUCCUGUGCAAUCUGAGUCUGCGCAGGUCCCGCUUUUCCCCAGCCCUUCUCUCUGGUGGUGCGACGGUCUGAAAGGAGGAGGGUCACAUUCCUCAGCUCAUCCCUUUCUCCAAACUUACUGGGAGGAGUGAGUUAAUUCCUUUUUGAUAUCUUUUCCUAUAGCGCCUAUUUCUCAAAUAAAGGCUCUGUCAUUGCCUUUGUUUGCUCUACAAGUAAAUAGCCAAUAAAAGGAACAGGCAAAGGCAGAACAUGGAAGUUUAUGAAAUCUUUCAAAUAACGUGGUCAUCUCUAGUAGAAGGGGAUGACCCAGGAAGUUCUGUGUUCAUGAGAGAAAUAGGAGAUAUCAGUGGUGGAUAUCAAAGAAAUAUUUAAGAAAGCCUGAUCACUUGUCUACCAUUUUUCUCCCUAAUACCAGUUUCAUGAACAGAUGAGCUGCAACACUAUUUUUCAGGUGAUACCUGAUAAUCAAUUCUGAUCACCGUGGCACUUUGCUAAUACCACUGCUGUUGCUGUUAAAAGGUUUCUCUUCUCUUUGCUGGACUGUGUAAUCUACUUGUUCACAUAAGUUUCCUUGAAACAUUAACAGCUGUUGCAAACUACCCAAAGCACAACGUAUAGCUAUCUACUGCCUGAGUAUAUCCAAGUAUUUAUGAGUUCGCAUAAUUGCACUGGAAUUUAUUUCUCUUCAGGAACUUGAGAACUUACAGAGCUAUUAAAGAUUUAAUACAGCCGGAAAUAUUGUUAUUGCUUUCUACAGGAGUAAGUGUAUGCAUUUUGUUAUUUGCCUUUUUUUCUUAUAACAAGUAUGUAAAUGAGAAAUAAAUACUGAAAGCUGCACAGCACUAUAUCUCCCACACAAAGGGAAGUCAUUUUAAAAAUAGCUUAUGCUUUGAACAGGAAAAUGGAAAAACACACAGAGUAACAAGGCACUAUGGCUAUUCAGCUUUCUGAUAAAAAGAAAUCCAUCAACGGUUUGCCUUUAACAGUUUGGCUGCACUCUUUUGUAGUAAAAGAUAAAAAUAUCAGUUGUGUUCCAGAGAUUUAGUGGGGGGAAAAAAAAAAAAGUGACUUUACUCUUAUUGUUACAUAGGAAUAUGUUAGGAAAGCUUAUAGCAGGCAGUAACAAUUCAUGUACUGAAAGUCUAAGUUAUUGAUAACCUGAAGAUUUCACCAACUGAAGUUCAAAUAUAUUUUCAGUAACUCAGUGAUAUCUUUGAGUUUGCUUAGACUGUACUUUGGAAGAUUUCAAUAAGUGAGAUUUAAUGUCAGUUUAACAAUGUGCUUAGCACAUGUUGAAUACAUAUACUGAGUAGAUGAACAAAAGGAAUAUUUGUUAUAUAGCAUUAGAAUUUAAAGGAGACCAAACAAAAACAAAGUCUUGAAUAGAAUGGAAAUGGAAGGAAGAAAGAAAUGUAUGUCCUUGACAACAGUUUAUAAGCAGAGGUAUGUAUUUUGUACUUAUUACUCUUUGUUACAGACCACUGGAGUUGGGAAAUAGAUAAUUGUUUACUACAAAAUAACUGCUAAUGUAAUCUGGACUUUCUUAAUGAAAAACACAUUAUACCUCUGACUCUUCAAACUCAGCAAAUUUAUUUAAAGAUUGACUAAUACUGAUUAUUGAGAGCUGCAGAGAAUUCAAAACCAUAUGAGAUCCUUGCUUUAAAGAUUGAUGUUAGAAGAUUUAAAGGUAACAAUCUUGGGGAAUAAAGAAGAAACUUAAUGUUUGCUUUCUUGAUGUUAUUUCACUGUCAAGUUGUAUCUUCAUAAGUAAGCUAGAGAAAUAUAUCUUAAUGAAAGUACUGCAAAGUAUGAGUUUGCUAGGUAAACACAAUUUUCAGAAAGCAACUUAUUUGUUCAUUAUCAGAAAAGAAGGAAGACAGACUAAUAUUUCAAAUGAAAAUUAAUAACUAUUAUUACUUAAUAAGAAACAUUUCAUUGUCCUUGCAGGUGGUAUACUGCUAAAACCACUAGGAGAAUGUGGAAGAAUAAAGAAGAAAGGAUAUAAUUUGAAGAUAAUAAUAAUAAUAAUAAAAAGUUAUAAUAAACUGGAAGAAUGAUGCCUAAAAUAAUCAAUUAAGAAAUAGCCAGAAGUUCGGCGUCCCUCAGGGGCCUGUACUGGGACUGAUGCUACUUAAUACCUACGUCAAUUACGUAGACAGUGGGAUGGAGUGCACCCUCAGCAAGUUUGUGAAUGACACCAAGCUAUGCGGUACAUUUGACAUGCCUGAGGUAUGGGAUACCAUCCAGAGAGACCUAGACAGGUUUGAGCAGUGGGCCUAGGGGAACCCCAUGAGGUUCAACAAAACCAAGUGCAAGGUCUUGCACCUGGGUCGUGGCAACCCCCGCUAUCAAUACAAUUUGGAGGAUUUAAGGAUAGAGCACAGCCCUGCUGAAAAGGACUUACUGGUAGACAACAAGUUGGGCAUGAGCCAGCAGUGUGCCCUCACAGCCCAGAAAGCCAAUCAUAUCCUGGGCUGCAUCAAAAGAAGCAUCACCAGAAGGUCAAGGGAGGUGAUCCUGCUCCUCUACACUGUGCUGGUGAGACCUCACCUGGAGUACUGUGUCCAGAUGUGGAGUCUCUCAGUACAGGAGAUACACAGACCUGUUGGAGUGUGUUCAGAGGAGAGCUACAAAAAUGAUCCAAGGGAUGAAACACUUCCCCUGUGAGGACAGGAUGAGAGAGCUGCGGCUGUUCAGCCUGGAGAAGAGAUGGCUCCAGAAAGACCUGAUUGUGGCUUUUCAAUAUUUAAAGAGGGUUGUAGAAAAGGAGGGGACAGACUUUCAGCAUGGUCUUUUGUGAUAGGAUAAGGGAAAUGGUUUCAAACUAAAGAGGAAGAUUUAGAUUAGAUAUAAGGAAAAAGGUUAUUGCAAUAAGGUUGUAAUACCCCAACCUGCAGUUGGUUGCCUGGAGAGGUGGUGGAUGCCUCCUCCCUGGAGAUAUCCAAGGUCAGGCUGGUCAGGGCUCUGAGCGACCUAUCUAUCCGUCCCUGUUCAUUGCAGGGGAGUUGGACUCGAUUACCUUUAAAGGUCUUUUCUGACACAAACAGUUGAAUGAUUGUAUGAGUGAAAUGAACAGAUUCUUCUCAUAUGUAUGGUUCUCACUAUUUAGCACUUAACAUGAGUUAUGUUUAUUCAUUGAUUUAUUUACUGCUUCAUCGGAAUGAAUACAGAGCUAGGUGGUUACUUAGAUUGUUAGAGAGCUACCAGAGACAGCAUUGAAAAGUAAAACCAUCUCCUAAGCCUCCAUGUGUUUAUCAAAAUUGGUCAUAAAAAGACCAAGAAAGAAGUAGUUAGUAGUUAUAAGUAACAGUGAGGAAAAAUUAAAUUACCUGGUAAUUAUUUUUUAUUUUUAUGCAUUAGUUGACCCUCUGAAGACCUCAUAACUUAGAUAAUGCCUUGUGAUCUCAUUGUUUUAUUCUAAUCUAAUAAUAAUUAAACAGAAAGUUAUUUCCAACUCUAAGGAAAAAUUUCAGCUGUGGAUAAAAUGUUUCCAAACAGAAAAGAAUUUGGAAAGAGAGUGCAAACUCUCUUUUCUUUAUCAUCCUUAAAGGAAAAGGGAAAAUAAUGUAUUUUUAUUUUAUGAAUAGAGGAUCUUCCAUUUAGAAUGCUUGGUUUGUUCUUGAAAAAUGUCUGAAGGAAUAUUAAUGAGAGAAGAAAAAACAAAUACAAAAUAAAUAAAUACCUAUCCCCUUACUGAACAUGAAACCAUUAAAAAAAAAAAAAAAAAACUGUAACGGCCACAAUUCACAUUAUGAUGAUAUCCUGAAAUUGUGUGUGAGAUCUAAAAGAGACCAUAUAGAUUCAGUGCAGUUGAUCUUAGGGUAGUAAGUGGAGAUUUUGUAUCUCUCAGAAGGUAUGGUUAUCCUUAAAGCACUGCUUAAAGAGUUAGAGGUUUUUUUUCCUGUUGGAAACUCUUUGCAAUAUUUCAAAUGAAAUCUUUCUUUUAAACAUUACAGUCACCUAGAAAGAAAGGAUAGAACCAUUUUGUUUCAUGUUGGCCUAGUAGUCUGUGGAUUUAUGGGCGUGUUUAAACUCUGCUCUAGUGAGACAAUAUGUCACAAAUAUUGUAUUAUUUUGUUAUUUUCUGACCAUCAACCUGAUGCUUGCUACUAUCCAAUGCCCUUCAGCCUGUACUCUGUAUGCAGGUUGAAAUAAGCCUGUACUUAUUUUGUGACAUAUUCGAAAAGAAUAGUAAAACAUUUAUAAGAAAAUCUAGACAUUUGCUCUUACACAAAGAAAAAAUGUUAGUUUGGGUGAAAAGACACCACAGCAUUUUAGGAAUUCCUUUUGAAGAAACCAUAUUUUGGAGAACUUUUGUCUAUGACUGCAACAUAUUACUGCACAUACUGCAGCAAAGUGCAAGCUGUGUGUCUGCAGUUUAAUCAUCUUUAAAGUGAUGAAGAGCAGGAAUUUUAUUUUCAGAGGGGAAAGAUGAGAAACAAAUCUAUCAAAAUUUGUUCCGUGAAUUCAGAGCGCAUGGGGAUUUAUUUUCAAAACAGAAACUGGUUUGUUUCUGAGAAGCAAAUUCUAUUAUUGUUUAACAGGAUUUGGGGGCAGAAUUGUCAUAAACUGACUGAACACUUACUCUGCAGGAGUUUUUUUAGCUGAGGAAAAAGGUUGGCAAAACAAUUUGUUUCUGUGGAUUUUUUUAGUGAAUUCAGCACGUGCCCCAGAAAAGGGCAUUUAUCUCAUUUUGAAAGCCACUUUCAUAUUCUUUCCCUAACUUGCUUACUGUUAGCUAAAACACUAAAUUAGAAAGAGUUAUUUCAAGUCCAACCCAAGGCUUAAUUUUACUUUUGGGGAAGAAAGUUGGAUUCCUAAAAUCAGUGGGGAAAAAAGAAAGAACAGUAAUUUCUGCGGAGGAACAGCAAUAAAUACGUGCACACUUUUUUUUGCCUGUGUAUGAAGUGUAAGGCACAACAGAAUGAUUUAAACUUGCAUUCACCCAGAAUGAUUUUUUUUUUCCCCUUCUAUAUCGUACUCUUGUUCUGAAACCUCACAUCUUAUCCAGGGUUUAAUAUAUCUUAGGGUGCAUUAAUUUAAUAAUUUUAGAAUGCUUUCAAAACUCUAAGGCUUAUUAUUUUAUUACCAGGAGUUUGUAACUUAGGCAGAAUACUGAAUAAAUUUUGUCAACCUUUCGUGCUUACUUUCUGGAGAAAAGGGGAAAAGGAUUAUUGAGACCUAGGGAUGGUCCGUGCCUGAGAAAGGAACUCUGUAAUCAGGUGUGGGGCCAGGAAUUGGACUCUGAUCCUUCUGGGUCCCUUCCAAAUUGUCAUAUUCUAUGAUUCUGUGAUUCUGUGCUUAGCCCAUACGUGACUAUCUCACCUAGGCUGCUGCUUUGAUGUGAUGGAAACACUCCUUGCAUCUUUAGCAGAAGGGGCCUUCCUAAUACAAAACAGUUACAAAGAGAUAGAAAAUCCCAAAGGAGUUCUUAGAGAGCAGCACAGCUCACUGAAUUAUCUCUGUGUUUUCUAUUUUAAACGUUGUGUUUCUUUUUUAAUUAUACAUUGAACUUCUGGCUGUUCCUGGAUAAUUUUCAUCACAGAAGGUUUGGAAGCGUGCAAAAUUUAGGGAUGAGGAUUUUGAACUAUGUGUGGAAUGCUUCCUCUUUCAGUGUUUUUGAUCAAGAGCUCAACUUCUUUUUUUGUGUACAGUAUUUUACAAAAAACAAGUCAUUUGAUGCUGGGCACUCAAAUGGACAAAUACAGGCUGGCAAAAUACCUCAGAAAAAUGAAUGGGAUAUUUCACUGUCCCUCAGGCCUUUCAAUAUUCAUAUUCUUCACAGUAUUUUCAGUGCAAUUGUUAUUGCUUCGCUAAAGCAAACUGCCUUUCCCAUAGAAAUAGUUAUUCAUUUGGCUGUUCAUCAUUUCAGAACAGGGACUGUGUUCUUUCCAAAUGCACGUAAAAGCUUCUGAAAUAUAUGAGAGAAGUUCUAAUCUCAUCCACUUUCUAACCAGAAAGACUAUGUGGAUGGAAAGUUUUAGGAUGCAUUUUCAGCAGUUUUGAACAAAACUAACAGGGUUUGGCAGAGUUCCUUGCUUAUGAAUAGAGAAAGAUUUGCAGAACUAGGUAACUACUUAAACUUGGAAACACAGCAAGCACGGAAAACAAACCAGCAAACACAACCAACAAACAUUCCAAAGACAUUUGUUUUUUGGAAUAUGUUUGCUAAGUUUUGGAUGAGAAAUUUUUUAAUGGUCUUGUUACGUUGGUAACUGUGGUCAGACAGGUGACAAAUUUUCAGACAACACCUAUAGGUUUCUGAGAGGAGUUUGAUGAUGUGAUGGCCUUGUGGCCUCCCAAGGAACAACCUCGAACACUCCAUCAUCCUCCUGUCUUGAUUCUGAACACCUGUCCAACAUUAACACAUAUUCUUCGCAGAGAGAGAAUAAAGAAGAGAAAAAUAUAAACAUCUAAAUGAAGAAAUAAAUGAGUGGAUGUAUUAACUAAAUAAGGGAUUUAAUUGGAUUGCUUUUGUCCUGUGAGCUUAUAAUUAGCAGAUUUUUAUUUAUGGCAGAAAGACCUAUCCUUAGCAUAUAUGCAGAGCUAUAAGAUAGGUAGAGCUCAGGGCAUUUUUAAUAGAUUCUCACUUUAUAAUUUGCAGGAGACAAAAAUCUUUACGCCAGACUCUGCUCUCAGUUACAAGAGCACACUGGAAUGCACCUUUAAUGUGUCUUGUCAGUUUUAUUUUCCCUUAACCCUUGUAUUUGCACAUUUGGAAAGAUUUUAUGACAAAACGGUCCCUGGCAAUUUUGAGUGUGGUUAAAUAUUACUUUUUAUAAUAUAAAGUGGAAGCAUAAAAUAAUCCCUUAGAGGCUGCAAUCUAUUUCUUCUUAAGUGUUUCCUUGCUUAGCAUGGGGCCAGAAGUUUAUCACCAUUACUUUGCCUACAAAUGAACUGUAGACGUUUAGAGAAAUAUAUUUAAUAUAUUUUAAAUAGGUAAAGAAUGUAAUGAAAUUUAUUCUGCAACAAACAGUUCUUCCCUGAGAAAAAAAAAAAAAAAAAAAGAGAUGGUUUCCAUAUUUGUGUGUAAGAAAAGGAAUUUGUUUGUGAUCUGUUAACCUUGCCAUCUUGUCUUUAAAUAUUUGUUCUCAUCAAAUCCUUGUCAUGUCAUGAUGUCAAAGGAGGGAAAAUGUCUAGAGAAAAGCUUUCAUCUUCGAACAAGUAGGUGGAAGACUGUGAAAUGUCACCCUGACUUUGACUUUGUUUGUUUAUUGCUUAUUUCUGUUGAUUCUAGUGCAUUCAGCAGGAGAUCUGUUAGAACUCACAACCCCUUAGCUACCAGUAAUAGCUUUGGAUAAGGCAUCGAAUACUGCAGCUGACCUAGAAUCUUGCUUCUCUUAACAAAAAUGUUAAAAUGUCUCUAUCCAAAUGUGCUUUAUUCUGCCUCUUAUUUUGGCACUGUGCUUCUCUUAAGCCUAAUUAUCUCUAUAUAAUUUUGAAAGCAUUGAAGUGACAAUUUUAUGCCAUUUUCUAUUUUGGACACUGAUAAACUAUGAGAAAAAAAUUUAAAAAAAAGAAAAAAGAAAAAAAAAAAAAGAAGAAUAGAUGAAUUAGGUCAGGCUGACCUAAUCUUUUAACUCUAAUGUCAUCUACAGUGCAGCUCAGACUGUAGUUCCAAUUGUGUUUCUUGAUAAUAUGAUGUCAUUUAGAAGUGUAUGAGAAAGGUUUUACCACUGACUAUUAAGUUGUCUGUAUUGAAGACAAAAGCACAUGUUUAAAACACCGCCAGAGGUAAACUGCAGGGAGAAUAAAGUGCAAAAACCUGUUGCUUUGAUAUUGUUACAUUAUCUAGACCAUGGUAAUGGAAAGAGGAUUAGCUGGGAAGGUAAUCUGAGUUACUGGAGGAACCAAGUCUCAAUACCAGCCUGAUGACACUCCUUUGGAAGAUGCUUUAAAGACAAACUAAAAUCCAUCCAUAAGCAGAGAAUCAAAUUUAUAAUUCUUAGUGUGCUUUAUUGAUAUUGCUGAGACUGAAAUGAUGUAUUUAGCUAUUUAAAUCUCUUAUUUCAAUGAUGAGAAUACUCUUCUGUCUAGAUAAUUUAAAGAAAUCAAUUUUCCUUAAAAUUAUGUUUUUGUUCAUAAUACAAUGUAUCUUCUGUACUGGAAAAAAUCGUGAGAAAUUUUAAGGCAGUUUUCAGAGAAAGACAAGAAAAAUAAACAAAAAAAGUGCUUGAGGUCAAGUGCAAAGAAGUUGUCAGUGGAUAGACUUCUUCUUAAUCUGAUAGUAUCUGGAACAGAAACAAGAUUGCAACAGUUAGGUUUCAGAAGGGAAAGUGUCACGACUGUUUGGCGAAUUCCAGUAAUUGCUUGUUUAAUUUGCUAUUAUUCACUUGACAUUUCAUGCAUCUGAUUUCCCAAUAUCUAAAAUCCAUAUAAUAAAUCCUCACUGUUGUGAAGUGUAUCAAAAACUAAAUAUAAACAGGUUAUCCACUCCCUUUGUGUUACGAGAGCUCAUUUUCCCUGUAGGUUUGCCUUCAUAUAUAGUAUUACUAGAAUCAGGCCCCUGCAUGGAACAUUUGGUUGCUACUUCAUAUGCUAAGUAAAUGUUCUGAGCUGUUUGUUUAGGAGAAACUGUGACCAGUUGUUUUAGGCCAUCAAGCCGCUUAAUUUGACUAGAAAUUUCAAUAACUGUUUCAUUGGAAAUCUGAUAGAAAGAAUUGUAUCAAAAUCUAUGAGUCUAAUUUAGGUUUUGCUAUGCUCUGAUUUGAUGUGGAAUGCUUUUGUGUGUAGAAAACAGAUAAGCUUCAUUUUAAGACGACCUUAAGGAAGGUUAUGCUAUGCUCUAGAAAUAUAAUUAGAUUUAUUUAGCUUAAUGUAUUUUCUAGUUUUGAUUUCUACAAAUAACUGAUAAACUGAAUAGGCACAAGGUGUUUUUAUUCUGAAAUGAACUGUAGCCAUCUAGUUUUUCCAAAGGCUGCUAUUGCACUUAACAUUCACGUUCUUAUCUUACCCCAAACCAUCAUUAAAUGAAAGAAAAUACUUUAUUUUGGUGUACUUGCCAUUGUCUUGAAAUUAGUUUAAAAUGGACAAAUUAAACUUCAUUUGAAUGUUAGAUAAAGGAUUUUGCUGACUCCUAUGUUUGAUGGUUGGGUUUCCCCAGGCCCAGUGACUAAUGGACACAAUGUCAAAGAAGCAGAAGCCCCUGAAGUACCAGUGAGCUUUUAAUGUUCAUUCAUAAUGGCACUGAUUGGCACAAAGGGAAAAUUAAUAAAACUAGUGUAUAGUCAAGGGAAACCACAUCUAAUAUUUUCUAAUGUUCCUGCCUUUACUCAUUAAACCUCUCUCUGACCCUUAAGAGGCUCACACCACCUCUGAUGCAAGAGCUUUUUUCUGUGUAAUGCUUACAAUCUGAGAGAGCCUUGCUAUAUUUCUCUGCCUCAUCGACAAUUUCUCUUUUUAAAAAUUGUCAUGGAAAAAAGGUGAACAUUUUCCCCCUAAGCAGAUUCAUUCCUCUCUCAUGCCCCUUUCUCGUCUCUGUAGAUAAAAACUGCUACAUUAAAUAAAAAUAUACUGUAAGCAAAGCAUAGUAAACAAAUGCAAUUCAGGGUAAAACUGAAUGCCCACUAAUCAUUUUUCUCUGCUUAUUUUUCUUUGACAGUAUUCCUAAUAGGGAUUUCAAUGAAAAAUACUCAUCAGUUUCCUAAAGUUCCCAGAUGGAAUUUAAAUGUAGCAGUGGAUUCAUGUUUUCGUUCGGGCUAUCUGGGAGCAGAAGACGGAAAGACAGCUAUACCAAAGACUUCUGAAAAACUGGCUUUGGAUCUAUUGUUUAUUGAUGACUCACAACUCUCACCUCCCUCUACAGGGACAUCCUCCAAGUCAUUUUGGACUAAUUUUCAGCAUUUUUUUCAAUAGUUAUAGUCUUUUCUGUAACUUUAUACAGAACUUGAGAACUGGCAGGGACCAGCUCUGGUAAUCCUUAUGUAUUACUGAAUAUCACCACUGAGGAACAUUGUCAUCUACAGUAGAUGAGAUAAUCCUAGCAAACACCAUGUUGCAAGGUGCUAAUUGACAUAAUAAACAACAGAAUAUAUCUGUCAAGCUGUGUUUCUGGGUAAAUGGGAGCUAAUUAAAUUAGCAAUAAAGCAUAAGGCCUGUAAAACUUCAUGUUCUUUUUAUGCUUGUUGUAGUUGGUUCUCUUAGAGUUAUUGCCUUAAGCAAAGAUAAUCACUUUCAUACAUGUUUCUCUAACAGAUAACAAAAUGAAAGUGGUGAUGUAACCAUCAGUCACUGAAUAGUGCUGAAAAAGACAGUGGUUUAAAGAAUCUGGUCUCCCAGAGUUGAAUUGGCCUUCUAGAUCAAAAGGUAGUGCCAGACUACUGAACUGUUUUAUACUAGUUGAGUACAUGAAAUAGGUAGCAGUAUUUACUUCUGAUAUUGUUAAGAUAUGUUCUGAGUGAAUCUUUGAAUGCAGUUGUAUUCUCUCCUGCAAACUGAAUAAGAUUUACCAGGAAAUUCAAAGUACAUUUUUUAUGAGAUAGAUGGAUAUAGUGGAGAAAUAUAUACUGGGGAAUUUAAAAGGAAUUAAAUGUAUUUAUUUCUGGCAUUUUUCUUUCUGCUUCUCUAAUAUUUUUUUUUUUCUGUACAGCAAAAAUAUUUUUUUUACUCCUACUUACUUUCUGCUCAGCAGCAAAAAGAACAAUUAUAUAAUUAAAAUAAUAGAGAAAAGCUAAAGUAAAACUUGACUUGCAUAUUUUUACUGAGUUCCUUCAAUCUUUUUACCUAUAACAGCGAAAAGCUAAUGUCCUCGAGAACAGCAUAUCAUUUCCUCAGUUAUAUUAUUUCCCAAAUCGCUACAUGUAAAUUUUUUCAUGGUAAUAAGUAGGAAGAUGUGUUUAAUAUUUAUUAAAAAGUCAUCAGUGAUGGCCCAUUACAUGUUCUCUUACACAAAAGUGUGACACUUUUCCUCUUUUAAAAAAGAGUGGCUCUUCUAUAAUGCUUUUCAGAAAAAAAUGACAGGACUACAUCCAGAACGUUUUCAGAGUAGGUGUAUAAAACAGUGGAAUUCUAUCACUACCUAAGAGAUUAGAAGAGUAUAAUAUUAAUAUAUAUUUCAGAUAUGUUUAAAUUAAGAAAAUGAAUCCCCAUCCAAGCCAUGAAGAAAUACUAACUCCUUACUGUAUGAAUCCUUCUUUGCUUUUUGGCUCAAAGCUUGUUUUCUGAGGCAUUUCUUGCGAUAAGACUCUGACUUAGAUGAGAGGUGGGUGUUGCCAUGUGGCAAUCAACAUCACUGUGUGGACAAUUUUACAUUUGAAAGCAUUUCUUUAGACCUGUUUGCCUCCAGAAGAGUGUGCUCAAGAGUGUUUACUGGUGAAAGAUCUGGCCUGUGACUAAAUAGCCCCAGCUUGGUAUGGGAAAACUGGGGAAUGAUACCAUCGUGUCCUGUGAAAAACAGGAUGUAGGUGAGCAUCCCUGCUCCCUCUUAUCUGCUGGCAAGGCCCGGAAGAUGGGAACAAAGAAGACUCUGCUGAGAUCCCAGAGCCAGAAGCUGCUACUCCAAGGAGAGCUGACUCAAGCACUUUGGAUUCGAGUUGUCACUUCAAAGAGAGCUGACUUGACCACUUUGGACUUAUAAAUAAGUUUGUACGGCCAUUGGAAAUUGUUGCUGUGGUCACUGUCAUCAUCAACAGAACAAUGCCUGAUGACUUGCCACUACUGAAGAUCAAUGACUGAACUACAAACCACGUUGGACCCAUGGUGGUGACUAUCUCCCUCUUGCUUCCUAUAAAGACACCUUGCUUCUAUUUCCUAUCUCUUCUAUCUCCCUUGUUCCCUUCCCCUUCUCCCUGAACAACUAGUAUUUGUAAUAAACUGGUCAGACCAACAUUUGAACCAUUGUUUCUUAAUCUCAUGCCGGGUAUGCAUAUAUCAAAGAACCGCCUCUCCCUCUGAUAAAUCAGAGCGAGACAUUUACUAGAUAGUGAAGUCAUAAGGGAAUGAAUGCUUCUCUUCCCAUGUUGACGGUUUAUGGGCUGGUCCGGCCCGGUUCCAUGACUAGUGGAGUGGAGGGAUUUUUUUUCAAAAUCCGUGCCUCCAGAAAAGGGAAACAGGGGACCCCCCCCCAAAAAAAAGAAUAAUUAAAAAAACAGCGGCAACGAUCUGAGGAGAAACAAACUAAUUUACUAACUAUAGUAUCAGAAUGCACAAUAACACACUAUAAUACAAUAUAAUUCAAUAUAAUUGUUAAUAAAAUCAAAUAUGAUUGAGAGAAGGAUUGUCUGAGAGCUAAAGGCCUUACACUAAUACUGAAGCCUUGCAUGCAGUCGGGAGCAGCAGCAAGACGAUCCGAAAGUGAGCACGACGAGACGAGAAGAAGACUCGAGUCGGGUGACCUAUAGGCCUUAUAUCUGUUCCCCUGAGCAGGAAUGAUAACAGUACUCGAACAGACUUCUGAGGAACGUAGUUCUUCUUCUCUUCCAGACAAGUACCUGGAACUAGAGCAUUUGCUCUUUAACUCCCAGUACACUGCAUGAUGUUAUGAUGUGGAAUACUGAUAACCAAAAAUCAUAAAACCAUGACAUCCCAAGAACAUUUCUACCUUGUGCUAUUUUUUAUGUUUUUAUAACAUGAAAAGUGCUGUGACUUGGAUAUGACCGUGUGUGUACACUGAAAUUUCAAUGG